UACAGAGGGGGCAAGCGUUGUUCGGAAUUACUGGGCGUAAAGGGCGCGUAGGCGGCCUGCUAAGUCGAACGUGAAAUCCCUGGGCUCAACCCAGGAACUGCGUCCGAUACUGGUUGGCUUGAAUCCGGGAGAGGGAUGUGGAAUUCCAGGUGUAGCGGUGAAAUGCGUAGAUAUCUGGAGGAACACCGGUGGCGAAGGCGACAUCCUGGACCGGUAUUGACGCUGAGGCACGAAAGCCAGGGGAGCAAACGGG
rnacentral:rRNA from 1 species